GAUGAAGAACGUAGCGAAAUGCGAUACUUGGUGUGAAUUGCAGAAUCCCGUGAACCAUCGAGUCUUUGAACGCAAGUUGCGCCCGAAGCCAUUAGGCCGAGGGCACGCCUGCCUGGGCGUCACACGUCGUUGCCCCCCCAUCUACUCCUUCGGGAUUGCGGGGGGCGGAUGAUGGCCUCCCGUGCGCCUCGUCGCGCGGUUGGCAUAAAUGCCAAGUCCUCGGCGACGCACGCCACGACAAUCGGUGGUUGCGAAACCUCGGUUGCCCGUCGUGUGCGGUCGUCGCGCAUCGAGGGCUCGAAAAAAUUGCCGGGCUCCGGCUCGGCUUUCAACGCGACCCCAGGUCAGGCGGGGUUACCCGCUGAAUUUAAGCAUAUCAAAAGCGGAGGA
rnacentral:misc_RNA from 1 species